CGCCAACUAGCUAGCCCACCCUAAUAAUAACAACAACUCAACAUAAAUAACCCCAAACACACGCUUAUAUCCCACUAAACAAACCAUUUUACCCCCUCAGUAUGGGCGACAGAAAAGGAAAUUUUGGAGCGAUAGAGAAAGUACCGCAAGGGAACGCUGAAAGAGAAAUGAAAUAACCCAGUGAAGCCUAAAAAAGCAGAGAUUCUACCUCGUACCUUUUGCAUCAUGAUUUAGCUAGUAAUACCCAAGCGAAGAGCACUUUAGUUUGGGCCCCCGAAACUACGUGAGCUACUCCAGGACAGCCUAUCAAUAGGGCAAACCCGUCUCUGUGGCAAAAGAGUGGGAAGAGCCUUGAGUAGAGGUGACAGACCUACCGAACCUAGUUAUAGCUGGUUGCCUGAGAAUUGGAUAGGAGUUCAGCCUCCCGGCUUCUCUCUUCACUACGAUUUUUAUUCCUACCGACACUUUAAAGAAACCGAGAGAGUUAAUCAAAGGGGGUACAGCCCCUUUGAUACAAGACACAACUUUCCCAGGAGGGUAAAGAUCAUAAUUAUUAAAGGUAAUAAUGUCCUGGUGGGCCUAAAAGCAGCCACCCUUACAGAAAGCGUUAAAGCUCAAACAUUAAACCUCAUCCAUAUAUUUAGAUAAUCUUAUCCCAGCCCCCUAACACUAUCAGGCCAUCUCAUGCAAACAUGAGAGUGCACAUGCUAAUAUGAGUAAUAAGAGAGCACCCGCCUCUCUCCUUGCACACGUGUAAAUCGGAACGAACCCCCACCGAAAUUUAACGGUCCCAAACAAAGAGGGUAAUGAACAACAAGUAAAUAACCAGAAAACCAUUCAAAAAUAACCGUUAACCCCACACUGGUGUGCCCUUAAGGAAAGACUAAAAGAAAAAGAAGGAACUCGGCAAAUAUUCUAAGCCUCGCCUGUUUACCAAAAACAUCGCCUCUUGCAAAAUGAAAGAAUAAGAGGUCCAGCCUGCCCUGUGACUAUAUGUUUAACGGCCGCGGUAUUUUAACCGUGCGAAGGUAGCGCAAUCACUUGUCUCUUAAAUGGGGACCUGUAUGAAUGGCAUAACGAGGGCUUAACUGUCUCCUUUUUCAGGUCAAUGAAAUUGAUCUCCCCGUGCAGAAGCGGGGAUAAAUCCAUAAGACGAGAAGACCCUAUGGAGCUUUAGACACCAAAGCAUAUCAUGCCAAGCACCCCAAAACAAAGGGUUUUAAGCCAAAUGAAUUUAUGCUCCUAUGUCUUUGGUUGGGGCGACCGAGGGGAAAUAAAAAACCCCCAUGUGGAAUGGGAGCACUGACCCUCCCACAACUAAGAGGUGCACCUCUAAUGAGCAGAAUUUCUGACCAAUAAUGAUCCGGCAACGCCGAUCAACGGACCGAGUUACCCUAGGGAUAACAGCGCAAUCCCCUUUUAGAGCCCAUAUCGACAAGGGGGUUUACGACCUCGAUGUUGGAUCAGGACAUCCUAAUGGUGCAGCCGCUAUUAAGGGUUCGUUUGUUCAACGAUUAAAGUCCUACGUGAUCUGAGUUCAGACCGGAGUAAUCCAGGUCAGUUUCUAUCUAUGACAUGUUCUUUUCUAGUACGAAAGGACCGAAAAGAAGAGGCCAAUACUUAAAGCACGCCUCACCCCUCCUAAUGAAAACAACUAAAAUAGGCAAAAGGGCAUACCCCUCACGCCUAAGAUAAUGGCAU
rnacentral:rRNA from 1 species